rnacentral:rRNA from 1 species
GACGAAGGGUGCUAGCGUUGUUCGGAAUGACUGGGCGUAAAGGGCGCGUAGGCGGUCUUUUAAGUUAGGCGUGAAAGCCCCGGGCUUAACCCGGGACGUGCGUUUAAGACUGAAAGGCUUGAGUAUGGAAGAGGUAAGUGGAAUUCCUAGUGUAGAGGUGAAAUUCGUAGAUAUUAGGAAGAACACCAGUGGCGAAGGCGGCUUACUGGUCCAUUACUGACGCUGAGGCGCGAAAGUGUGGGGAGCAAACAGG